GACGAACGCUGGCGGUGUGCUUAACACAUGCAAGUCGAACGGUAAGGCCCUUUCGGGGGUACACGAGUGGCGAACGGGUGAGUAACACGUGAGUAACCUGCCCUCAUCUCUGGGAUAACAGUCGGAAACGGUUGCUAAUACUGUAUAUGAGCUUGCAAGGCAUCUUGUGGGUUGGAAAGAUUUUUUUUGGUUGGGGAUGGACUCGCGGCCUAUCAGCUUGUUGGUGAGGUAGUGGCUCACCAAGGCUUCGACGGGUAGCCGGCCUGAGAGGGCGACCGGCCACAUUGGGACUGAGAUACGGCCCAAACUCCUACGGGAGGCAGCAGUGGGGAAUAUUGCACAAUGGACGGAAGUCUGAUGCAGCAACGCCGCGUGCGGGAUGACGGCCUUCGGGUUGUAAACCGCUUUCAAUUGUGACGAAGCUUUUUUGUGACGGUAGCAGUAGAAGAAGCACCGGCUAACUACGUG
rnacentral:rRNA from 1 species